rnacentral:rRNA from 1 species
CACAAGCGGUGGAGCAUGUGGUUAAUUCGACGCAACGCGAAGAACCUUACCUGGGCUUGACAUCCCGGAAUUCCCUAGAAAUAGGGAAGUGCCCUUCGGGGAACCCGGAGACAGGUGCUGCAUGGCUGUCGUCAGCUCGUGUCGUGAGAUGUUGGGUUAAGCCCCGCAACGAGCGCAACCCCUAUCUUUAGUUACCAUCAUUCAGUUGGGGACUCUAAAGAUACUGCCCCGGUCAACGGGGAGGAAGGUGGGGAUGACGUCAAGUCCUCAUGGCCUUUAUGCCCAGGGCUACACACGUGCUACAAUGGGCUGUACAAAGGGUUGCAAGCCUGCGAAGGUGAGCUAAUCCCAGAAAGCAGCUCGUAGUUCGGAUUGGAGUCUGCAACUCGACUCCAUGAAGCUGGAAUCGCUAGUAAUCGUGGAUCAGCAUGCCACGGUGAAUACGUUCCCGGGCCUUGUACACACCGCCCGUCACACCAUGAGAGUUGGUUGUACCAGAAGUUGUCGGACUAACCCGCAAGGGAGGUAGGCACCUAAGGUAUGGCCGAUGAUUGGGGUG